GAUGAGAACGUAGCGAAAUGCGAUAAGUAGUGUGAAUUGCAGAAUUCAGUGAAUCAUCGAAUCUUUGAACGCACAUUGCGCCCCUUGGUAUUCCAUGGGGCAUGCCUGUUCGAGCGUCAUUUGUACCCUCAAGCUUUGCUUGGUGUUGGGUGUUUGUCCCGCGUUGCGCGUGGACUCGCCUUAAAGCGAUUGGCAGCCGGCAUAUUGGCCUUGGAGCGCAGCACAUUUUGCGCUUCUAGUCAUGAAUGUUGGCGUCCAUUAAGCCUAUACAUUUGCUCUUGACCUCGGAUCAGGUAGGGAUACCCGCUGAACUUAAGCAUAUCAAUAAGCGGAGGA
rnacentral:misc_RNA from 1 species